rnacentral:rRNA from 1 species
UACAGAGGGGGCAAGCGUUGUUCGGAAUCACUGGGCGUAAAGGGCGUGUAGGCGGUCCGCUAAGUCUGAUGUGAAAGCCCGGGGCUCACCCCCGGAAGUGCAUUGGAAACUGGCGAACUCGAGUCCCGGAGAGGAGAGUGGAAUUCCUGGUGUAGCGGUGAAAUGCGUAGAUAUCAGGAGGAACACCGGUGGCGAAGGCGGCUCUCUGGACGGUGACUGACGCUGAGACGCGAAAGCGUGGGGAGCAAACAGG